rnacentral:rRNA from 1 species
UACGUAGGGGGCAAGCGUUGUCCGGAAUCAUUGGGCGUAAAGCGCGCGUAGGCGGCCCUGUAAGUCCGUUGUGAAAGUCGAAGGCUCAACCUUCGAAAGCCGAUGGAUACUGCAGGGCUAGAGUCCGGAAGAGGCGAGUGGAAUUCCUGGUGUAGCGGUGGAAUGCGCAGAUAUCAGGAGGAACACCGGUGGCGAAGGCGGAUCUCUGGGCCUUACCUGACGCUGAGGCGCGAAAGCUAGGGGAGCGAACAGG